CGGCUGGAACACUGAAGAAGUGCAUAGCAAACAACUUGGAAGAAUUGCUAGGAUGACGUCUGUUAAUUUUCUUUGCUAGAGGAAGAUGGGGAAUGGACAACACAGAAGGUGAACUGAUGAAGCGGAACUGGAAGUGAGCCUCAUCUCAUUUCGUCAACAGUGAUACAUACAGUUACAUACAGGGAAGA